rnacentral:lncRNA from 1 species
CUUACAAGACCAAGUGCUUGCGGCAUUUGCGAGUUUUCGCUCACUCAUGUUCGAGGGAAAAUUGCUUGCGUGCAUGGGGAGGAUGGAUGCGUUUGACCUUAAGAAGCACCCAAAAUCCUAAAAUUGUAGAUCGCCUGUCGUCACACGCCAUGCCACGCGUGAAAAUGUCUGUUAUUUAGCUUAGUGAGAGGCAAGUAGGUCGGACUCGGGGGUCAGUUUCAGAGCAAUUGAGGGAAGGGGGUGGGGCCAUGAGACCAUGUGCCUAAUUAGCACCAUUGUCAAAAAUGGACGUUUUCCAAUUCCAGGUAAAACACGAGGCGUUCCCAGUGUGACUUCGAUCACGCAGCCACGGCAGCCAGGUAUAACAACGGGCUUGUGAGGUGCCUCGGACUACAAGUUGCACGGUUUCAACAUCUGCGAAGUAGUUAGUGGUUUGCGCCUGCCAUUCUAGUCUUCACAGAUGUUCAUUGUGGCUUUCCAGGUUACUUGGAUAGGGACUCGGUGAUAUGCCCGCAUGCGGGUUUGGGCAGGGAACAUCACAAGAACUUACAAGACCAAGCGCUUGCGGCAUUUGCGAGUUUUCGCUCACUCAUGUUCGAGGGAAAAUUGCUUGCGUGCAUGGGGAGGAUGGAUGCGUUUGACCUUAAGAAGCACCCAAAAUCCUAAAAUUGUAGAUCGCCUGUCGUCACACGCCAUGCCACGUGUGAAAAUGUCUGUUGUUUAGCUUAGUGAGAGGCAAGUAGGUCGGACUCGGGGGUCAGUUUCAGAGCAAUUGAGGGAAGGGCGUUGGGCCAUGAGACCAUGUGCCUAAUUAGCACCAUUGUCAAAAAUGGACGUUUUCCAAUUCCAGGUAAAACACGAGGCGUUCCCAGUGUGACUUCGAUCACGCAGCCACGGCAGCCAGGUAUAACAACGGGCUUGUGAGGUGCCUCGGACUACAAGUUGCACGGUUUCAACAUCUGCGAAGUAGUUAGUGGUUUGCGCCUGCCAUUCUAGUCUUCACAGAUGUUCAUUGUGGCUUUCCAGGUUACUUGGAUAGGGACUCGGUGAUAUGCCCGCAUGCGGGUUUGGGCAGGGAACAUCACAAGAACUUACAAGACCAAGCGCUUGCGGCAUUUGCGAGUUUUCGCUCACUCAUGUUCGAGGGAAAAUUGCUUGCGUGCAUGGGGAGGAUGGAUGCGUUUGACCUUAAGAAGCACCCAAAAUCCUAAAAUUGUAGAUCGCCUGUCGUCACACGCCAUGCCACGUGUGAAAAUGUCUGUUGUUUAGCUUAGUGAGAGGCAAGUAGGUCGGACUCGGGGGUCAGUUUCAGAGCAAUUGAGGGAAGGGGGUGGGGCCAUGAGACCAUGUGCCUAAUUAGCACCAUUGUCAAAAAUGGACGUUUUCCAAUUCCAGGUAAAACACGAGGCGUUCCCAGUGUGACUUCGAUCACGCAGCCACGGCAGCCAGGUAUAACAACGGGCUUGUGAGGUGCCUCGGACUACAAGUUGCACGGUUUCAACAUCUGCGAAGUAGUUAGUGGUUUGCGCCUGCCAUUCUAGUCUUCACAGAUGUUCAUUGUGGCUUUCCAGGUUACUUGGAUAGGGACUCGGUGAUAUGCCCGCAUGCGGGUUUGGGCAGGGAACAUCACAAGAACUUACAAGACCAAGCGCUUGCGGCAUUUGCGAGUUUUCGCUCACUCAUGUUCGAGGGAAAAUUGCUUGCGUGCAUGGGGAGGAUGGAUGCGUUUGACCUUAAGAAGCACCCAAAAUCCUAAAAUUGUAGAUCGCCUGUCGUCACACGCCAUGCCACGUGUGAAAAUGUCUGUUGUUUAGCUUAGUGAGAGGCAAGUAGGUCGGACUCGGGGGUCAGUUUCAGAGCAAUUGAGGGAAGGGCGUUGGGCCAUGAGACCAUGUGCCUAAUUAGCACCAUUGUCAAAAAUGGACGUUUUCCAAUUCCAGGUAAAACACGAGGCGUUCCCAGUGUGACUUCGAUCACGCAGCCACGGCAGCCAGGUAUAACAACGGGCUUGUGAGGUGCCUCGGACUACAAGUUGCACGGUUUCAACAUCUGCGAAGUAGUUAGUGGUUUGCGCCUGCCAUUCUAGUCUUCACAGAUGUCCAUUGUGGCUUUCCAGGUUACUUGGAUAGGGACUCGGUGAUAUGCCCGCAUGCGGGUUUGGGCAGGGAACAUCACAAGAACUUACAAGACCAAGUGCUUGCGGCAUUUGCGAGUUUUCGCUCACUCAUGUUCGAGGGAAAAUUGCUUGCGUGCAUGGGGAGGAUGGAUGCGUUUGACCUUAAGAAGCACCCAAAAUCCUAAAAUUGUAGAUCGCCUGUCGUCACACGCCAUGCCACGCGUGAAAAUGUCUGUUAUUUAGCUUAGUGAGAGGCAAGUAGGUCGGACUCGGGGGUCAGUUUCAGAGGAAUUGAGGGAAGGGGGUGGGGCCAUGAGACCAUGUGCCUAAUUAGCACCAUUGUCAAAAAUGGACGUUUUCCAAUUCCAGGUAAAACACGAGGCGUUCCCAGUGUGACUUCGAUC